rnacentral:rRNA from 1 species
GGACGGGGACACAGUUGGAAACGACUGCUAAUACCGAAUGUGCCGCAAGGUGAAACCUAAUUGGCCUGAAGAAGAGCUUGCGUCUGAUUAGCUAGUUGGUGGGGUAAGAGCCUACCAAGGCGACGAUCAGUAGCUGGUCUGAGAGGAUGAGCAGCCACACUGGGACUGAGACACGGCCCAGACUCCUACGGGAGGCAGCAGUGGGGAAUUUUCCGCAAUGGGCGAAAGCCUGACGGAGCAACGCCGCGUGAGGGAGGAAGGUCUUUGGAUUGUAAACCUCUUUUCUCAAGGAAGAAGUUCUGACGGUACUUGAGGAAUCAGCCUCGGCUAACUCCGUGCCAGCAGCCGCGGUAAUACGGGGGAGGCAAGCGUUAUCCGGAAUCAUUGGGCGUAAAGCGUCCGCAGGUGGUCAGCCAAGUCUGCCGUCAAAUCAGGUUGCUUAACGACCUAAAGGCGGUGGAAACUGGCAGACUAGAGAGCAGUAGGGGUAGCAGGAAUUCCCAGUGUAGCGGUGAAAUGCGUAGAGAUUGGGAAGAACAUCGGUGGCGAAAGCGUGCUACUGGGCUGUAUCUGACACUCAGGGACGAAAGCUAGGGGAGCG